rnacentral:misc_RNA from 1 species
GAUGAAAACGCAGUGAAAUGCGAUACUUGGUGUGAAUUGCAGAAUCCCGUGAACCAUCGAGUCUUUGAACGCAAGUUGCGCCCGAAGCCAUUAGGCCGAGGGCACGCCUGCCUGGGCGUCACACGUCGUUGCCCCCCCAUCUACUCCUUCGGGAUUGCGGGGGGCGGAUGAUGGCCUCCCGUGCGCCUUGUCGCGCGGUUGGCAUAAAUGCCAAGUCCUCGGCGACGCACGCCACGACAAUCGGUGGUUGCGAAACCUCGGUUGCCCGUCGUGUGCGGUCGUCGCGCAUCGAGGGCUCGAAAAAAUUGUCGGGCUCCGGCUCGGCUUUCAACGCGACCCCAGGUCAGGCGGGGUUACCCGCUGAAUUUAAGCAUAUCAAUAAGCGGAGGA